AAGAAGUGUCUAGCACAGAGUUUGAAGAAUCCUUUUCUUGCGAACUGGUUAAGUUUCAACUAUCUCUACAAAGUCCACCAUUCAGAAUGAGAGUAGAGCGGAUUCCAGACGUCUGGUAUAACUAUUCAGUAAUGGCUUGCAUCAACGAUGAUCCGCCGCUACUAAUGGCAGAUGUCGACGAGGAAUCCGAAGAGAAUGAUGUGGAACCUGAGGACGAAGUUUACUAUUACGAAGAGUUUCCGAAUAUCGAUCUAAUGGCGGAUAUGCCCGACUAUGAAUCCCCGAUUAGUGAUUCCGAUGAUAUCGACUUAUACUUCUGGCGCUUCGAAUAUCCAGCUCCAGCUCCAUGGGAUGCUUGAACCACACAUUCGGUUUGAAAUCGGUUUUGUAUCUGCUGAAUAAAAUAAUCUAGCUAGCUGGCAUUUGGG
ensembl:ncRNA lncRNA:CR43132 long non-coding RNA:CR43132